rnacentral:piRNA from 1 species
UGUUAUGAGAGGUGCGGGGUGCGUA